rnacentral:tRNA from 6 species
GCCGGGGUGGCGGAACUGGUAGACGCGCCGGAUUCAAAAUCCGGUUCCUUCACGGGAGUGCCGGUUCGAUUCCGGCCCUCGGUACCA